rfam:Zea mays cultivar B73 chromosome 3, whole genome shotgun sequence.
UGUUGAUGUGAUGAUAAACCUGGACAGAAACUUCGGUGUUGACCAAAAUUUCAGACUACAAUUAUCUGAUCAACU